GUAUCUUGUUUUUUUAUUUUUAUAUUGUCUGUUUCUUUUCAGCUGUACAGGUAUUUUUCUUUAUAUUUAAAUUCAUCUUGGUGGGUGAUAUAUUUCAUAAAAACAGAUUAUAAUAUGAUUUGAGCAUGAUGAACAUGUCAAGUUUUACAAUAACAUUCUAUUUCAGUUUAUUCAUUCAACAAUGUUUAUGUUGAGUAACCUUGAAUAUAAUUAUUUUUUGACAAGUUAAUAAACAAAAUAAUAUCACUUUCUUCCAAUUCUUAUCUGUAUUUGUUUGAUGAGUGUUGACAUAGAAAGAAAUAUUAAAUUCAAAUGUAAUGAUAUAAUUGUUAGCUUAAAUACAUGUAGUAUACAUACUGUGUUAGUAAUUGAUUUUAUUAGAAUUCUUUAUCUUGUAAUGUGAAUGAUUUAUUAAAUUCAAUGUACAUUUAUAACCAACCACAGAUCUUACAAUUUAUAAUCUGGAUGAACAAUAUUAAAAGCUAUUGUUUAUAUUACUGCAUAUGGGGUUUAGCGUCUUACUUCUCUAUACCAAUUUGGCUAACAAAGACAGACAUAUGCUUUUUGGUGUACACGGGCAGUGUUGUUUCCUCCUACUUUUCAUUCUGGUCCAACUGUCAAUGGUUCUGUAACGUGCAUGCCAGCAAUACCAGGCCUCUUAUUUUAUCCCAACCAAAUGACAAGACAUUGUUCCUUGCCAAGCUCUCCAUCACAUACAACUGACUAGAGGAAACCAUGCUGUGGUAUUUUCGCUGCCAACACCGGGAUCAAACCCGAGACCUCCUGCUUUGUGAGCCAGUGCCUUACACUAAAAGCUAACAUAAUUUUUUAACGACAUACAUACUCCAGUUGGAUAAUAUAUGAACUGGAUUAGUCUUGUUCAUGUGAAAUAAUUGAUGUGAACAGGCAAGUAGGAUUAAUGGCUGAAUGGUUAGCACAUGCGCGCUGUAUCAUUAGGUCUGUCAUUGAAUCAACUGGAGUGGUUUCAAUUCCCCGGUUGUACAUGACAAGGGUCGCGUGUCCUCCAGUUUCCUACCACUGCUAAAGACCCCUACACAGAAGCGUAUUAUUGAAAUAAAAUUGAACCGUGUGUUAGUCCCGAAAUGACCUAGUUUGUGUCAAGUGGAGUUAAACCCCAUUCCUCUCUCUCUCCAGGUCCUCUGGUUUCCUCCCACUGCUAAAGACCCCUAAGCACAAGCAAAUUAUUGAAAUAAAAUUGCACUAUAUGUUAGUCGCAAAAUGACCAAGUUUGUGUUUAGUGAAUGUUAAACCCCAUUUCUCUCUAUAUAUAUAAUUAAAUUGAGCUAUUAUUUAUAAAUUUACAAAAUUUGAAAUAAUUAAUUUCUAGUCCAGGAAUUUUUUUUCAUCGAAAAACCUGUAUUUGAAGUUUAAUUAGGUAUGUUCAAAAGAUAAUGCCGACUUUAUAUAAUAUACUUCAUCUAUAUAUGCUAUAACUAUAACAGUAAAACAUGUACCUGUAGAUAGAUUAUGUAAAUCUAGAUCUGUUUUGUUUCAUUCAUCUUGUUCAUACAUGUACUUAAAUGAUUAUAUUUUGAUAGUAAAAGAUUAAAUGCACAUGUAUCAUGAUUUUGGUUGGAAAUGAAUGUUGAUCUAUUUUCAUGAUUGAAACUGUGUGUAUGAACUUACUUCAAACCCAAAUGGAAAUUUUUAUGUUUUUUUGAAAAUGUAUCAACAGCAUAGUUUCAAAUGGUUAAACAUGACAGGGAUAAGGUCUUGUAUGAAUCUUACAUCCAAAUAAAGCAGUUUUAUUUACUAAAAUAUAUCUGGGUGGACUGCUCAUUUAAUACACAUGCAAAAGUAAGAACUUGGGACCUUUAGUACGUUGGUUUUUAUACGCCCACAUUUUCAUGUGGACGUAUAUUGUCGUCGCCCCUGUUUGUCUGUUCGGACGUCCGUCCACAAUUUGUUUGUUGACACUCGACAGGUCACAAUUUUUAUCCGAUCUCAACGAAACUUAAAAUAUAGCUUUAUCUCCCUAAGAUCUUGGUUCCUUUCGAUAUUGGCAUGUAUCGGACCAUAACUUCAUGGAUUAUGGCCCCUGAUUGUACGAAAAAUCGUGUUUUUAGCUUGUGGACACUCUAGAGGUCACAAUUUUGAUCCGAUUUUGAUGAAACUUGAAAUGCAUGUUUAUAACCCAAAGAUCUUGGUUCCUUUCGAUAUUCGGGCAUAUCGGAUCGUAACUUACUGAAUUAUGGCCCCUGAUUGUACGAAAAAUCGCGUUUUUGGCUUGUUGACCCUAUAGAGGUAAUAAUUUUUAUCCGAUUUAAAAAAACGUAUUAUGAUAUCACCGUUACACGCUAAGGACGACUGAGUUCGAAUUUCUUGAAAAUCGACCCAAAAUUGACAGACAAAAUGGCCGCCGUUCGUUCUAAAAUAGCAUAAAAAUACAGUAUAUCAAAGUUGUGGACCCUAUAGAGGUCACAAUUUUUAUCCAAUUUUGUUGAAACUUGAAAUGUAAAUUUAUAACCCAAUUUUGUUGAAACUUGAAAUGUAAAUUUAUAACCCAAAGAUUUUGGUUCCUUUGGAUAUUCGCGCAUAUCGGAUGGUAACUUCCUGAAUUAUUGCCCCUAAUUGUUGUGGACCCUAUAGAGGUCACAAUUUUUAUCCGAUUUUGUUGAAACUUGAAAUGUAAGUUUAUAACCCAAAGAUCUUGGUUCCUUUCGAUAUUCGCGCAUAUCAGACCUUAACUUCCUGAAUUAUGGCCCCUGAUUGUACGAAAAAUCGCGUUUUUAGCUUGUAGACCCUAAAGAGGUCAUAAUUUUUAUCCGAUUUAAAAAAGCGUAUCAUAUCACCGUUGCACCCUAAGGACGGCUGAGUUUGAAUUUCUUGAAAAUCGGCCCAAAACUGACAGACAAAAUGGCCGCCCUUCGUUCUCAAAUAGCGUAAAAAUAUGGUAUAUCAAGGUUGUGGAUCCUAUGGAGGUCACAAUUUUUAUCCGAUUUUGUUGAAACUUGAAAUGUAAGUUUAUAACACAAAGAUCUCUGUUCCUUUCGAUAUUUGCGCAUAUCGAAUUGUAAUUUCCUGAAUUAUGGCCCUUGAUUGUAGGAAAAAUCACUUUCUUUUUAGCUUGUUCUCUAUCCACCUCUCGAAAAUGUGGGCGUAUCCUGCCUGGCAGCCGCUGGUUAAUAAAAUUAGUGAGAAAAAAUGAAUAAAAUAGGGUUUAAUGUCCUACUUUCUACUUCCUGCACUAAAAUGGCUAAUGAAAACAUGCUAAUGCCAUCCAGUGGGAGGGAAAUUAUGUCCAGACAACAGCUUUUCUGUCUACUUUCGUCAAAUUCUAACUUUCAAAGGUUCUGUUAUGUUCACAGUUUUCCAUCUUUUCCAUUGUCAAGACCCCCCGCUCUACUGACAAGGCGAAACCACCCUGGAAAAUCUUGAGCUUUCUCGGCCAACCCUGGGACUAACUAAUUAGUGAGCCAGCGCUUUGCUCACUGAACCACUGUUAGAAAAAAUAUUAGCUUGAUCGUGUUAGCACAGAUGUCAAUAGGCAUAUUUACCAUAUUGUUUAUGAUAUUGAAAAAAAGCAACAAGGUUUUCCUUAACACAAAUCUACUAGAUGUGUAGUAAUUAAAAUGUGUAAAAACACUAGAAUGGAAGUAAAGUACUUGUGUUAAAUAAGGUCCAGCAGGAAACUGGAUUUGGGGAGUUAAACAUAUUUUUAUUAAUAAUGAUAUUGAUAUUGAACGAUAAUUGUAUUGUAUCCUGUUUAAAAUUUGACCAUUUAUAUAAUGUUACCGGCUAUGGCUGAAUGAGACACAUAUAGGUGAAGACAUGAAAUUAUAUUGUUUUCAAAGAAAUUUAAAUUCUGUUUUCAAAGAAAUUCAAUUUUGUUUGCAACAAAGGAAAUUAUUUUUCAUAAUUGCUAAGAUCUCUAGCUUUGAAGUUGGUAUACAAAAAAAAUUGAUUGGAAAUUAUUGAAACAAAUCAGACACGACUCCAUAGUCUAAUACCAGAAAAUAAUGUCAUGCAUUUCUCACCUUGAAUCAGUGGGGAAAUAAAAAUAGUUAUUUAGUGAAAAUUGGAAAAAAUGUUUUGUAUUUUGGACCUUUCAUGCCUUAUCAGAAAUAAUAGGCCUGUGACAUGUCUUAUUUAUCUAGAGCUGGUCACACAUUAUUUUGUAAGGUUAAUUUCGAUAAUUUAUGUAUAUGUACAUUUUUGUGUGCCCUAUUUAUCAAGUAAUAGAUUAUAUAUAUGUCAAUUUAGAUAUAAUAUUGACCACUUGUGUAUUAAAAAUGAAAUCUUGUUGACUAAAUCUGAUUUUUUUCGUAGCUCAAACUUUAAGUUUAUGCGUCAUUCAACCGUAUAUGUUUACUAUAUAAUUAACACUUGGAAAUCGUAAUUGUUAUGCAAAGUAGAUGUAUAUUGCUACAUGUAGUUGGAAAUCAUUCUCUCAAAACCGCUACAUCUCACCAGUUGCUUUACUUUAUUUUCAAGGCCUUUACUACUGAAAAUUGUCAUUCAUAGUUAUUUUUACCGGCAACUUUCAUACAUGGUUGUUUGUAUAUUUAAUUGUCUGUAUCACACUAAUGGAUUGAUCUCUAUUUUAUUUUAAUAAUAAUUAAUUUGUAUUCUGAAGAUACAUAAUUAUUGAUACUGUUGUAUUAGUGCAAACUUUGUACAUCGCCCGUUUUCACAAGUGCGCUAUGGAUUACGUCUGUAUGUACCAAUUCAUUGUGAUAUACUUUUUUUUUUUGUCAUUGAUCUCAUAACAUAGUAUUUUUUUUGUUGCUAAGUAAUGUUAUACAAAGAUUGUUAUAUUUUUAUACAUUGUUACUGGGUUUUUUUUAUACAUUGUUAUUGCUUUUUGAUACAUAUUUUUUUGUUAUUUUGAUUUGUGUUUAUAUCUUUUUGAAAUAAACACUCGUUCUGAUUGGAAA